rnacentral:lncRNA from 1 species
CAUUUUAGAGAUCACAUUUUACCCCUCUAGAAGACUCUGGCAUCAUCAAAAUUCCAUAUUCCAACGGAGAUUCCUCCAGAAGGUAGGGAUUCCGAUGCCGGAAUCUAGCCGGGUAUUACAUAUCCUGUGCUCUCCACGACACAAAUUACAGAACUUGAUAGACCAUUUUCUCCAGAGGAGGUUAAGCUAGCAUUGGACCAGAUGGCGAGUGGUAAAGCGGCUGGUGACGAUGG